UAUUUUUGCAGUUGGUCUUCCUAUGUUGAAACAUUCAUUAUGGCUUUGACUAAUAUCAGUAUUUGGAUUUUAUUACUUAAUGGUGUCACCCUAAGCUUUGCAGUUCAUAUUCUCCUCUCUCCUUCAUCCCUUCUCUGUUCUGCUUGGACAAAAUGCUCAGUUCUUCUGUAUUGUGGAGGAAGGAGAAGGCUGUAGAAUUUUAAAGUUGCACUGGCAUCACAGGAACAUGCAUCCAGCUGGCACUGAGGCCAAAGAAAAUAAACUCCUUACUGAAGGUCGCUUUAAUAUUACCAAACGCUCAAACAUCAGCAGCAGUCUGUUCAUUACAAACGUGGGGUUUUGUGACAUCGGUCACAUCAUAUGUUCAGCCUAUUGUAUACAAAAAACAAUAGUGUCCAUUAACAAGAGCUCCCUACUGUCAGUGAAAGCGGUUCCCAAACUGAACAUUUUUUACCAGACAUCAGUUGAUGAUCCCAGUGUACUGACACUGACUUGCAUCGCUGAAGGUUUCUACCCCUCUGAUAUAACUCUGUCCUGGGUCCUUACUGUCCAAGAGGUGCCCCACAGCAGGGAGCAAACACCUGCCACUCUCCUUCAGGAUGGGACCUACAACAUCAGUUCAACACUUCAGGUCAAAGAUUCUCUUUGGAGCCCCGAGGUGGAGAUUGGUUGUAAAGCAAAUCACAGUUCUCUGACACAGCCAUUGAUGAAGAGAAUUAGAAAAAGAGAUGAAAAUAAAGCUUGUGCCAAAAAGAUGCAUGAAAAGGAGGACCUCUUGUAUACUUCAGUUCAGUAUGUGAGAACAUCAAAAGACGUGUAUCUGGUCUGUAAGAAUGAAGACAUUGCUAAUGAACAUAAGGAUACCUUUACCUCUACUAUACAGUACCAAUGAUGUCUAACAACACAAAUAAAA